rnacentral:rRNA from 1 species
GCCAACUGCUGGGCAGCGGCGCGUGUAAUUCGUGGUGUGGGGUGGUUGUCCGGAAUGACGGGGAGUGAAGGGUUGGUAGUGGGGUUGUGGCGUGGUUCGAGAAACGUCGCGGCUUAAGUGUGGGCGUGCGGGCGAUACGGGCAGAGUAGGGUACUGCAGGGGGGACUGGAAUUCCUGGUGUAGCGGUGGAAUGCGCAGAUAUCAGGAGGAACACCGGUGGCGAAGGCGGGUCUCUGGGCAGUAACUGACGCUGAGGAGCGAAAGCGUGGGGAGCGAACAGGAUUAGAUACCCGAGUAGUC